GGAGUUUCACCGUGUUGCCCAGGCUGGCCUCAAACUCCUGGACUCAAGCCAUCCACCCACCUUGGUCUCCCAAAAUGCUGGGAUUACAGGAGUGAGCUACCACGCCCGGCCUUGUAUUUCGCUUCUCUUAAAAGGAGAUAGAGAAAGUGAACUGAGCUGUUCUGGAUGGGCCAUAAAACUGGAAGGUAUACAGCCAAUUGAAAAUAGAGAUCUUAUGGGAACAAUUCUGCAAGAAUGUCUGAAGAGGUCUGUGGAAGGCAAGUCCCAAGGAGAAAAGGAAAGAGAGAUAAGAAGGCUGUUCUGCAAAACUGCGAAGCCCUCAGAAGAAACAAAGGGAACAGAGAAGACAGCCUAGCGGGGAGGCGGGGAUUUUGUACUUUCCUAAUUCUGGCAUGUGCAUUCCUCACAAAAUUCAUGGCUAUCAGCUCAUUCAAGAGUUCACUUACAAUAUGUUGGUUGGGCUAGAUUCUUCAAGCAUUUAAGUGUAGACGCUAAGAGGUAAAUGCAGAUUUCUCAAUUUGAAAAGGA
rnacentral:lncRNA from 1 species